AUUAUUGAUGAACUGCUUGAUGAACUGGCAGGUGCUAACUGGUUUUCUAAACUAGACCUUAGAUCUGGCUACCACCAGAUCAGACUAGCAACUGGAGAGGAACAAAAAAUUGCUUUCCAAACUCAUAUUGUGCAUUUUGAAUUUUUGGUCCUUUCUUUUGGUCUCACUGGGGGGCCUAACACAUUCAACUUUGGAAUGAAAGAUACUCUGUCCCCUCUCAUCAGAAAAUAUGUCCUGGUCUUCUUUGAUGAUAGCUUAAUUUUUAGUGCUUCUUAUGAAUUGUAUUUGCAACAUUUAGCUGAAGUAUUGAAAUCACUGCUACAGCAUCAGUGGUAG
rnacentral:rRNA from 1 species